UGCCUCCCUCCCUGGAUCACGCGGCCGCCACCUCCCUCUGUGGAUCACGCGUAUCCAGGAUGGCCCCUCACACCUCGCCUCGCCACCAGCCUCCACCAUCUCCCUCUCCCGCUCACUCCUCCCACUUAAAUUAGGCGGCGGCCGGAUCCGCCCUCUCUUCCUCACCUCUCCUUAUCUUCAUAUCCCAUCCUAUCCUAUCUACUUCUUCGACACGGGGGGCACGGAGCUCGAGGAAGGUUGCCUCUUCGUCUGCUUCUUCUGCGCUCCCCUGCGUGUGCUUGGUGCGUAUGUGAUCCCGACGCCAUGGACCUUCAAGGCUCCGUCUACCUCGUCUCACUCUUUCCCUCCUCCUCAAGGAAAAUGGGAUCUUCAAGAACGGGGCAGUAGCUCUUGUGGCUUCUCCUUUGUCCAGGGAUGAGCCGGGGAGGCUUCUGUUUAUUGGCGCAUGCACACGAUUUGUCUUUGAACCAUGACAUCAUCAUGCUCGUCGGCAACUGGACAACCACUAGAGCUGCUCUGAGUCGCGAUCUUGCUCGCGACACUGGGUGCAGGUCAGCUGGAAAGAAGAAGAAGUUACAUCCAGCAUGUGAAGUUCAGCUGGUGAGCAUGUGCAGUCUAACGGCGCAUGUGUGCUUGUGUCCGUUCACUUGCAUAGCAUGUCAACCUGUGAAGAUCAGUCCGUGAACAUGUGUAGUCCGGUGGCGCAUGUGUGCUUGUGUCAGCUUCACUCACGUAGAAGAUAUAGUGCUCGUGUGCACACGACAGCCACAUCUGGUGUGAGAAGCCAAGCAAAAAUAAUAACACACUACGUUCAACUUCACAAGGGAUUCUUGUUUGGCAAUUUGGAGGAAUUUGCGACUUCGAAAAAUUGUAAUAAAUAACUCAAACAAGUCCGAC